rnacentral:sRNA from 1 species
UCGCCGACGGGUUUCCUGCCCCGUCGGCGCCUCGGCCUCGCCAGUGCGCCCCCAACGCCCUGGCGAGGCCACUCC